rnacentral:rRNA from 1 species
UGCCAGCCGCCGCGGUAACACGGGGGGCGCAAGCGUUAUCCGGAAUUAUUGGGCGUAAAGGGCGCGCAGGCGGUCUUGUCCGUCAGGUGUGAAAUCCCAGGGCUCAACCCUGGAACUGCCUUCGAUACUGGUAGUCUUGAGGUCGAGAGAGGUGAGUGGAAUUCCGAGCGUAGAGGUGAAAUUCGUAGAUAUUGGGAAGAACACCAGUGGCGAAGGCGGCUAACUGGCUCGGUACUGACGCUGAGAUGCGAAAGCGUGGGGAGCAAACAGGAUUAGAUA